GAACCUGGAUGCUGGGGAAGGGGGUUUGGAGCUGACAUUGGGGCACAAGGGAAAGAGCUUUGGGAUGGGGGAGGGAGGGCCGGCAUGGUAGUGCUCUGUCUGCAUGGCUACGAGUGACUGGAUACAGUCCGUUUGGCGCGCCAGGAUGCUUAUCAGCUGCUUUGUGCUUUUCUUCUUAGCCGCUGCGUUUCUCUGGUGGAGCUUGCUUUCCCUUUGCCCCCAGUCUUGCAGUUUUUUACUCUCUCUGGCAGAGUGAUCCAUAGCUGCUUUAAGCAUGUCGUCUUUGCUUUUUCGCUGCUUCUUCCUGAGGUUUUGUAGCCUCUGCCCAGUGGAUGAUACGGGCAGUCCGGUAGUCAAGGACACUCUGGGUUACUGAGG